rnacentral:lncRNA from 1 species
GGGACGGCGGCGAGCCCGGCCGGGCCGCCCUGAUGCGCGCCCCUCCUGCAGGGCCACGUGCUGAGGGAAGCACCGCGAGCCGCCUCACUCCGGGCGAGCCCUUAGCAAAGGAGCAACACGAGCGCCCGGCGGGAUCAGCAGCAGCAGCAGCAACAACAACAAGGGCACCGGGAGGGCUUCCCUCCUUCCUUCUCGGUGAUUUCCCAGGUGGAGUGCACACAGAAUAUGAUGCUUUUUAUCUUGCUCAGUGCUUGAAGGUGGGACCCUCUUCUGACAUGUGA